GUUGGGCAUGGUGGCACAUACCUGUAGUCCCAGCUACUCAAGAGGCUAAGGCAGGAGGAUCGCUUGAGCCCAGGAGUUCUGGGCUGUAGUGCGCUAUGCUGAUUGGGUUUCCGCAUUAAGUUCAGCAUGAAUAUGGUGACUUUAUGGGGCAGGAGACCACCAGGUUACCUAAGGAAGGAUUAACCGGCCCAGAUUAGAAAUGGAGCAGAUCAAAACUCCCAUGGUGAUCAGUAGUGGGAUUGUGCCUGUGAAUAGCCACUGCACUCCAGUCUGGGCAACAUAGUGAGACCCUGUCUCU
rnacentral:SRP_RNA from 1 species